rnacentral:rRNA from 1 species
GAUGAACGCUGGCGGCGUGCCUAAUACAUGCAAGUCGAGCGCACUGACUAUCAGCUUGCUUCUCUGCUGUUAGCGGCGGACGGGUGAGUAACACGUGGUUAACCUACCUUUAAGACUGGGAUAACUUCGGGAAACCGGAGCUAAUACCGGAUGAUAUUUUGAACCUCAUUUUUCAACAGUGAAAGACGGUCUUGCUGUCACUUAUAGAUGUAUCCGCGCUGCAUUCGCUAGUUGGUAAGGUAACGGCUUACCAAGGCAACGAUGCAUAGCCGACCUGAGAGGGUGAUCGGCCACAUUGGAACUGAGACAGGGUCAAAACUCCAACGGGAGGAAGAAGAAGGGAAUCUUGGGCAAUGGGGGAAGGCCUAACGGGGAAAGGCCGCGUGAGUGAGGAGGGUCUUCGGAUCGAAAAACUCUGUUAUAAGGGAAGAACAUAUGUGUAAGUAAAUGUGCACAUCUUGACGGUACCUAAUCAGAAAGCCACGGCUAACUACGUG